rnacentral:rRNA from 1 species
AUUGAACGCUGGCGGCAUGCUUUACACAUGCAAGUCGAACGGUAACAGGCCUUCGGGCGCUGACGAGUGGCGAACGGGUGAGUAAUGCAUCGGAACGUGCCCAGUCGUGGGGGAUAACGCAGCGAAAGCUGCGCUAAUACCGCAUACGAUCUAUGGAUGAAGGCGGGGGACCGUAAGGCCUCGCGCGAUUGGAGCGGCCGAUGUCAGAUUAGGUAGUUGGUGGGGUAAAGGCUCACCAAGCCAACGAUCUGUAGCUGGUCUGAGAGGACGACCAGCCACACUGGGACUGAGACACGGCCCAGACUCCUACGGGAGGCAGCAGUGGGGAAUUUUGGACAAUGGGCGCAAGCCUGAUCCAGCAAUGCCGCGUGCAGGAAGAAGGCCUUCGGGUUGUAAACUGCUUUUGUACGGAACGAAACGGUUCUCUCUAAAACAGGGGGCUAAUGACGGUACCGUAAGAAUAAGCACCGGCUAACUACGUGCCAGCCGCCGCAGUAAAAC